CCGUCAAUUCAUUUAAGUUUCAGCCUUGCGACCAUACUCCCCAGGCGGAGCACUUAACACUUUCGCUACGUCCGAGAAACUGUGAGAGUCCCUCAGACUAGUGCUCAUCGUUUACGGCUAGGACUACCGGGGUAUCUAAUCCCGUUCGCUACCCUAGCUUUCGUUCCUCAGCGUCAGAAAAGACCCAGUAAGCCGCCUUCGCCACCGGUGUUCCAGAUGAUAUCAAUGCAUUUCACCGCUCCACCAUCUGUUCCGCUUACCCCUAUCUCCCUCAAGCCCUGUGGUUUGAAACGCAGUUCCUCGGUUAAGCCGAGGGCUUUCACAUCUCACCUACAGAGCCGCCUACGAACUCUUUAAGCCCAGUAAUACCGAAUAACGUUUGGGGAGCUCGUCUUACCGC
rnacentral:misc_RNA from 1 species